GGAAAUAAACUUAUUAAACACACAACUGUCGAUUUCCAUAACGUUUUCGUUAGUUAAUUAACAUAUUGUCAUUUGGCCUUCCCCCUGAGCUCUUGCGAAAUGGUUCAGCCGCAACGCACGAUGCGUUGAAUCGAACAGCAUCCGAAAUGUGAGAUGCUGGCACUGGCAGCAGGUGUACAGAGCGGCUGGGCUGGCUGAGGUCAGGUCUUAACCACAUGAUGGUGAGCUGGUGGUGACAGCUACAGAAAUGAAGUCAGGUUGGCAAAAACUGAAGAAAAGACGGGAGAAAGAGGAGAGGGCCAAAAGAGGCAGGCAACUGGUCACUCAAUUGUUCGCCAAUAAAGAAGGAGGAGGACAAGAUCCGCCCACGGCCACCACGACUGGAUCCCAUUUCGGAGAAGGAGUAAGCAGAAACGGUGGAUUUUUUUGCAGUGCAUCAUGUCUUCUGAAAAGACUAUUGCAGUUAUACAAG